GAUGAACGCUGGCGGCGUGCCUAAUACAUGCAAGUCGAGCGAACGGACGAGAAGCUUUCUUCCCUGAUGUUAGCGGCGGACGGGUGAGUAACACGUGGAUAACCUACCUAUAUGACUGGGAUAACUUCGGGAAACCGGAGCCAAUACCGGAUGAUAUUUUGAACCGCAUGGUUCAAAAGUGAUAGACGGUCUUGCUGUCACUUAUAGAUGGAUCCGCGCUGCAUUAGCUAGUUGGUAAGGUAACGGCUUACCAAGGCAACGAUGCAUAGCCGACCUGAGAGGAUGAUCAGCCACACUGGAACUGAGACACGGUCCAAACUCCUACGGGAGGCAGCAGUAGGGAAUCUUGGGCAAUGGGCGCAAGCCUGACGGAGCAACGCCGCGUGAGUGAUGAAGGUCUUCGGAUCGUAAAACUCUGUUAUUAGGAAAGAACAUAAGUAUGAUUAACUGUGCACGUCUUGACGGUACCUAAUCAGAAAGCCACGGCUAACUACGUG
rnacentral:rRNA from 1 species